AUCAACUUUCGAUGGUAGGAUAGAGGCCUACCAUGGUGGUAACGGGUAACGGGGUGUUAGGGCACGACACCGGAGAGGGAGCCUGAGAAACGGCUACCACAUCCAAGGAUGGCAGCAGGCGCGCAAAUUACCCAAUCCCGACACGGGGAGGUAGUGACAAUAAAUAACAAUACGGGGUUCUUUAGGAUCUCGUAAUUGGAAUGAGUACAAUUUAAAUCUCUUAACGAGGAACAAUUGGAGGGCAAGUCUGGUGCCAGCAGCCGCGGUAAUUCCAGCUCCAAUAGCGUAUAUUAAAGUUGUUGCAGUUAAAAAGCUCGUAGUUGAAUUUUGGGUCUGGCCGGGCGGUCCGCCCUCCGGGUGAGCACUGUUCCGACGCCGGGCCUAUCCUUCUGGAGAGUCGGCAUGUCCUUUAUUGGGUGUGCCGGGGAACCAGGACCAUUACCUUGAAAAAAUUAGAGUGUUCAAAGCAGGCGUAUGCUCGGAUACAUUAGCAUGGAAUAAUGAAAUAGGACGCGUGGUGCUAUUUUGUUGGUUUCUAGAACCGCCGUAAUGAUUAAUAGGGAUAGUUGGGGGCAUUAGUAUUCAAUUGUCAGAGGUGAAAUUCUUGGAUUUAUUGAAGACUAACUACUGCGAAAGCAUUUGCCAAGGAUGUUUUCAUUAAUCAAGAACGAAAGUUAGGGGAUCGAAGACGAUCAGAUACCGUCGUAGUCUUAACCAUAAACUAUGCCGACUAGGGAUCGGAUGAUGUUAAUUUUUUAAUGACUCAUUCGGCGCCUUACGGGAAACCAAAGUGUUUGGGUUC
rnacentral:rRNA from 1 species